rnacentral:rRNA from 1 species
GUGAUCGCUGGCGGCGUGCUUAACACAUGCAAGUCGAGCGGGAUCUGCAGCACAUCGCAGGUCUAGCGGCAGACGGGUGAGUAAUACUUGGGCAAUCUGCCCUUGAGUGGGAAACAACCGGCCGAAAGGCUGGCUAAUGUCCCAUAAGACCACAGGAGGACAUCCUUCAGAGGUCAAAGCUCCGCAAGGGGCGCUUGAGGAGGGAGCCCGAGGCCUAUCAUGGUAGUUGGUGAGGUAACGGCUCACCAAGCCUUUGACGGGUAGCCGGCCUGAAAGGGUUGACCAGGCCACACUGGCACUGAGACACGGGCCAGACUCCUACGGGAAGGCAGCAGUGGGGAAUUUUGGACAAUGGGGGCAACCCCUGAUCCAGCGACGAGCCGCGUGAAGGACGAAGGUCUUCGGAUUGUAAAACUUCUUUUGAUGGGGAUGAAUGGCCUGGUGAAUAGCCAGGAGUGACAGUACCCCGUUGAAUAAGCCACGGCUAACUACGUGCCAGCAGCCGCGGUAAUACGUAGGUGGCAAGCGAUACUCGGAAUCACUAGGCGUAAAGCGCAGGUAGGCGGUUCGGUAAGUCUCUUGUGAAAGCUCCCGGCUUAACUGGGAGAGGCCAAGGGAAACUACCGGGCUAGAGAGUGGCAGAGGAAGCUGAAUUCCCGGUGUAGCGGUGAAAUGCGUAGAUAUCGGGAGGAACACCUAUGGCGAAAGCAGGCUUUCUGGGCCCAUCUCUGACGCUGAGCUGCGAAAGCUAGGGGGAGCAAACAGGAUUAGAUACCCUGGUAGUCCUAGCCCUAAAACGAUGCUAAUUAGGUGUGGAAGGUAUCGACCCCCUCCCGCGCCGAAGCUAACGCAUUAUAAAUUAGCCGCCUGGGGAGUACGGCCCGCAAGGUUGAAAACUCAAAGGAAUUGACGGGGGGGCCCGCACAAGCGGUGGAGCAUGUGGUUUAUUAAUUCGACGCAAACGCGAAGAACCUUACCCGGGCUUGAACUACUCGUGGUAGUUCGCUGGAAACAGUGGACGACCCGCAAGGGAGCGAGCAGAGGUGCUGCAUGGUUGUCGUCCAGCUCGUGUCGUGAGAUGUUGGGUUAAGUCCCGCAACGAGCGCAACCCCUAUCCAAUGUUGCUAAUUCCCGUAAGGGAUGCACUCUUUGGAAACUGCCUUCGAUAAGAAGGAGGAAGGUGGGGACGACGUCAAAUCCUCAUGGCCCUUAUGUCCGGGGCUACACACACGUGCUACAAUGGCCGGUACAACGGGAAGCAAGGCCGUAAGGCGGAGCCAAACCCUAAAAGCCGGCCCCAGUUCAGAUUGUGGGCUGCAACUCGCCCACAUGAAGGCGGAAUCGCUAGUAAUCGCUGAUCAGCAGGCAGCGGUGAAUACGUUCCCGGGCCUUUGUACACACCGCCCGUCACACCACGAAAGCCCGCUGCAACAGAAAUCGUCGAUUCAACCCGCAAGGGAGAUAGGCGCUGAAGUUGUGGUUGGUGAUUGGGGUG